GGGCAGCAGAUGGAAGAGCAGGGAAUCUGAGGCAGAAAUCAAGCCCAUCCUCCCACCCCUGUGGCUCUGACUUUCAGAAUUCUUUGGUGGCAGCUAACGGUUUGGAACAAAUGCAGUAUAGCUCAAGGAGCCCUGGUCUCGGGAUAAAAAGGAGUUCAAGGCCAGUUUCUGUUACGGGUCUGAGCCAAGCCACAUCACUUCUCUAAACAAGCACUGGCCUCCAGAUAAACAGUAUUAAAACAAUUACAACUCAUCCAGCUCACAGAUGCUGAUUCACUGAACCCCUGUUCCACCGACCAGAAACAGCUUUGACUGGACAAGAGGCUGAAUUCAGUAACUUUCUCCUGAUGAGAAGACCACCAGCCAUGGACUGGUUCUUGCUGGUUUACAGAGACUGCACACCUGUGUACCUUCAUGUCCUGAAAAGAUCUUUUGACAUAGGGGCUAGGUAUAAUACAUUUCAUCUAUUCAUUUCAAAAUGAACAUCGGUCAUAAGUUACAUGUAUGUUUAUCUAACAUGCCUGUGUCAGGACCACUUUCUUGAAUACUCAGCUCCUCCUGUAACUUGUUGAACAUGUAUGUUUAGCCAACCUUUUCAGCAUAAAACUCCUACCCCAACCCCUCCUCCUUCCAAACGCCUGUCUCUGGUCUUGGCUAGAGGCAGGCUUCCCAGCCUGUGGGACAACCACCUUGCAGGCUGUAACCUUUUAUAAGAAUUAAAGCCUCUUCUCUUCUAAAUUUAUAAAUUAUGUUUUUUCUUAAGUUAACAAGUGGGGACAAUCAACACACUUGAAUGUUUCUUCCCAAUGAUCUUCUUAUUAUUGAAACUUUGCCUUGGUGUUCCCAACUCCUGGACAUAGGAAGGGAAGAAUGGGAAUAAGAAAUAGAAAAUAAAUCACAGUUCAAAUCAAAUACCAUCCUCAGGAUAGAUCACUUUGGCCAUUUUAUGCUCAGGCAGCUGAAGUUAUGCCUAAAACAGAGAAAUGCAUAUACCCAUUCAUAUGAUGAGCAGCUCUGUGGCAGGAUGGAGCAUCUGCCAUUUAAUUCCCGUCAAAAAAUCAGUUGCUUGUACUGUGUUAAGGAAGAAAAAGAAGAUAGUAUAUUCAUUCAUUAGAAAAAGCCUGGAUUAUAUCAAAACGGUUACCUUUGGGAGAAAAGAUUAUAGGUGAUCUUUAUUUUUUCCAUGUGCAUUUCUGUGUCUUAUAGAUUUGCUACCAUGAACACAGUCAUCCUUUUGUGAUCAUAUUAAAAUGAUUGUUAUAAAAAUAGAA
rnacentral:lncRNA from 1 species